rnacentral:rRNA from 1 species
AGAGUUUGAUUAUGGCUCAGGAUGAACGCUAGCUACAGGCUUAACACAUGCAAGUCGAGCGGAACUGCUUCGGCAGUUAGCGGCAGACGGGUGAGUAACACGUAUCCAACCUUCCCCUUACUCGGGUAUAGCCUCGGGAAACUGAGAGUAAUCCCCCGAUGUGGUGUACGCUUCGCAUGUAAUGCACACCAAAGAUUAAUCGGUAAGGGAUGGGGAUGCGUUCCAUUAGCUAGUAGGCGGGGUAACGGCCCACCUAGGCGAUGAUGGAUAGGGGUUCUGAGAGGAAGGUCCCCCACAUUGGAACUGCGACACGGUCCAAACUCCUACGGGAGGCAGCAGUGAGGAAUAUUGGUCAAUGGCCGAGAGGCUGAACCAGCCAAGUAGCGUGCAGGAAUGACGGCCCUACGGGUUGUAAACUGCUUUUGUGCGGGAAUAACGGUCGACACGUGUGUUGAUGUGCAUGUACCGUACGAAUAAGGAUCGGCUAACUCCGUGCCAGCAGCCGC